UCCCUGGUGGUGCAGUGGGUUAAGGAUCCAGCACUGUCAAUGCUGUGGCACAGGUUCCACCCCUGGCCUGGGAA
rnacentral:tRNA from 1 species